rnacentral:rRNA from 1 species
UACGUAGGGUGCGAGCGUUAAUCGGAAUUACUGGCGUAAAGCGUGCGUAGGCGGUUCUCCAAGUCCGUUGUGAAAGCCCCCGGCUCAACCGGGGAGUGGGGCUGGAAACUGGGUUUCUUGAGGGCGAUAGAGGAGUGUGGAAUUCCUGGUGUAGCGGUGAAAUGCGGUAGAGAUCAGGAGGAACACCCGUGGCGAAGGCGGCACUCUGGGUCGGCCCUGACGCUGAGGCGCGAAAGCGUGGGGAGCGAAC